AUUGAACGCUGGCGGCAGGCCUAACACAUGCAAGUCGAACGAGUGGCGGACGGGUGAGUAAUGUCUGGGAAACUGCCCGAUGGAGGGGGAUGACUACUGGAAACGGAAGCUAAUACCGCAUACCAUCGGAUGUGCCCAGAUGGGAUGAGCGAGUUGGGGGGGUAACGGCUCACCAAGGCGACGAUCCCUAGCUGGUCUGAGAGGAUGACCAGCCACACUGGGACUGAGACACGGCCCAGACUCCUACGGGAGGAAGCAGUGGGGAAUAUUGCACAAUGGGGGAAAGCCUGAUGCAGCCAUCCCGCGUGUAUGAAGAAGGCCUUCGGGUUGUAAAGUACUUUCGGCGGGGAAGCGUUACCCGCAGAAGAAGCACCGGCUAACUCCGUGCCAGCAGCCGCGGUAAUAC
rnacentral:rRNA from 1 species